UACAGAGGGGGCAAGCGUUGUUCGGAAUUACUGGGCGUAAAGGGCGCGUAGGCGGCCUGCUAAGUCGAACGUGAAAUCCCCGGGCUCAACCCGGGAACUGCGUCCGAUACUGGCAGGCUUGAAUCCGGGAGAGGGAUGCGGAAUUCCAGGUGUAGCGGUGAAAUGCGUAGAUAUCUGGAGGAACACCGGUGGCGAAGGCGGCAUCCUGGACCAACACUGACACUGAAAAGCGAAAGCCAGGGGAGCAAACGGG
rnacentral:rRNA from 1 species